rnacentral:rRNA from 1 species
AGUGGCGAACGGCGUAGUAAUACAUGAGAAAGUGCCCUUAAGACUGGGAUAUACCGAGGAAACCGGAGCAAUACCAGAUGUGACGGAGUGGUGGCAUCACCAUUCCAUUAAACGGUUUUUCGCUUAAGGAGCGUCUCAUGGCCUAUCAGGUAGUUGGUGAGGUAAAGGCUCACCAAGCCGACGACGGGUAGCGGGUCUGAGAGGAUGAUCCGCACGAGUGGGACUGCGACACGGCCCACACACCUACGGGUGGCAGCAGUUGGGAAUCUUGCACAAUGGGGGAAACCCUGAUGCAGCGACGCCGCGUGGACGAUGAAGGCCUUAGGGUUGUAAAGUCCUUUUUUGGGGAAAGACUUAGGACGGUACCCCAAGAAUAAGCUCCGGCUAACUACGUGCCAGCAGCCGCGGUAAGACGUAGGGAGCAAGCGUUGUCCGGAUUUACUGGGCGUAAAGAGCGCGUAGGCGGCUCGUUAAGUGUGAAGUGAAAUCUCCAGUGCUCAACACGGAAACUGCUUUACA